UGUGACCUCAAAUCAGGUAGGACUACCCGCUGAACUUAAGCAUAUCAAUAAGCGGAGGAAAAGAAACUAACAAGGAUUCCCCUAGUAACUGCGAGUGAAGCGGGAAAAGCUCAAAUUUAAAAUCUGGCAGUCUUUGACUGUUCGAGUUGUAAACUAGAGAAGUGUUAUCCGCGCUGGACCGUGUACAAGUCUCCUGGAAUGGAGCGUCGUAGAGGGUGAGAAUCCCGUCUUUGACACGGACUACCAGGGCUUUGUGAUGCGCUCUCAAAGAGUCGGGUUGUUUGGGAAUGCAGCUCAAAAUGGGUGGUAAAUUCCAUCUAAAGCUAAAUAUUGGCGAGAGACCGAUAGCGAACAAGUACCGUGAGGGAAAGAUGAAAAGAACUUUGGAAAGAGAGUUAAACAGUACGUGAAAUUGCUGAAAGGGAAACGCUUGAAGUCAGUCGCGUUGUCCAGGGAUCAACCUUGCUUUUGCUUGGUGUACUUUCUGGUUGACGGGUCAGCAUCAAUUUUGACUAUUGGAAAAAGAUUAGGGGAAUGUGACAUCUUCGGAUGUGUUAUAGCCCUUGGUUGCAUACAAUGGUUGGGAUUGAGGAACUCAGCACGCCGCAAGGCCGGGUAAAUCUUACCACGUACGUGCUUAGGAUGCUGGCAUAAUGGCUUUAAUCGACCCGUCUUGAAACACGGACCAAGGAGUCUAACAUGCCUGCGAGUGUUUGGGUGGAAAACCCGAGCGCGUAAUGAAAGUGAAAGUUGAGAUCCCUGUCGUGGGGAGCAUCGACGCCCGGACCAGACCUUUUGUGACGGUUCCGCGGUAGAGCAUGUAUGUUGGGACCCGAAAGAUGGUGAACUAUGCCUGAAUAGGGUGAAGCCAGAGGAAACUCUGGUGGAGGCUCGUAGCGAUUCUGACGUGCAAAUCGAUCGUCAAAUUUGGGUAUAGGGGCGAAAGACUAAU
rnacentral:rRNA from 1 species